CAGCCGCCGCGGGAAUACGGAGGGUGCAAGCGUUAAUCGGAAUUACUGGGCGUAAAGCGCACGCAGGCGGUUUGUUAAGUCAGAUGUGAAAUCCCCGGGCUCAACCUGGGAACUGCAUUUGAAACUGGCAAGCUAGAGUCUCGUAGAGGGGGGUAGAAUUCCAGGUGUAGCGGUGAAAUGCGUAGAGAUCUGGAGGAAUACCGGUGGCGAAGGCGGCCCCCUGGACGAAGACUGACGCUCAGGUGCGAAAGCGUGGGGAGCAAACAGGAUUAGAUACCCGGGUAGUCCCUGUCUCUUAUAC
rnacentral:rRNA from 1 species